GAUGCCCACAGACACUGAGAUAGGCACAAGCUCCCCGUGACCCGAGGUAUUUCGGAUAAGGGAUAGAAAAUGAAUGAAUGAAAGAAGAUGCAGCAAAACAGAAGACUUGAUACUACAGACCCUAAAGGAUUCAAUCCUCUGAGAGAAUAAAUAUGCAUUUAAUUGUAUUUUAAGACCUUUACAGGUUGACAAAUGGUAGACAAUUAACCUGGUAACCAUAAUCAGGUUACAUUUAAACCUCUGUGGAGUCUGUGGAGUAGUUAAAAAGCAGCUAAUCCAGAGGUAGAACAGGAACAAAGAUGGUCAGUGAUAUCAUACACACGUACGGUGCAUCGGCACGGCUGACCGUCACCACCGUAUGUUCUUGUGGAACAUUUCGUUCCAGAUAUGCUGUUAAAAUAAAGUCCGCUCAUCUGAGAAGGCUUUCGUCUUGAUCUUGCGUGGCUGUGAGGAUUUGUGUUCGUUUUUAUUCGUUCGUUCAUUCGCAAGAGCAUUAAUGAGAUCAGACUCUGAUGCUGGGAUGUCGACGAGACUCCAGUUCCAGAUCAUCCUAAAGGUGUUCAGUGGGGUUGAGUCAGAGUCAGGGCUCUGUGCAGAACACUCGCGUCCUUCCACUACAACCCAAACCUCCACACCAUGUCUUCAUGGAGCUCAGGGGCUUUGAGCACAAGAUCAUGUGGUAACCUAGUGGUUAAGUUGCUGGACCACCAACAGGAGGUUUGUGCCAUUAACAGAAAUAUAGGCCCAACAGUGGCAUUUUGGCAGUGCUGAGGCUUGAACCCUGAUCAACAACCCAGAGCCUUAACCACUUGAGCCACCACUGACACACCAAGCUGUGACCUCUGGGCCCCUGAGCAAGACCCUUAACCUUCAAUUGCUCAGUCAUGUAAAAUGAGAUAAAAUGUAAGUCGCUCCAGAUAAAGGAGUCUGCCAAAUGCCAUAAAUGUAAAUUGUCACACCGGGGCAUUGGUCGCGUCUCUUAAAAUUCCCAGUUAAGGGAAAUUGUAAUAAUCUGGAUCAGUACAAAACCAGGUAAAAAAAGUUCUAGUAAUUUAUAAAAAUAUUUUAAAAAAAUUAUCUUUAAAUGUUAGCUUUUACAACCGAGUUUAGUUUUUAGGUUUAAAAAUUGUGCUAAUUAUCUGCCAGUAGACUUAAACUGUUACAGUGUCCGGAUGUCCAAAUACAGCAUAAUAACUGUAUUCUUAUAAUAGUCUUCAUUUUUUUUAUAAUACGAGUAAAUAGAGCACAGAGAUGUAGUUAAUAAUGAACUUCAUUAUCCAUGUUCUUUCACUUGGAUCACAUCCAGUGAAUUUACGACCGUCAAUCUGAGACGUCCCUUCCUUCAGCUCUGGACGAAGAACGAGGCUUGCCGCCGAAGAGCUCUUGUUAAACGGGGUCUAACUUUAACGGCUCGGGUUUCACGAGGAACUCUGUGGGAACUGAGAUUAUUACAUGAGCGAUAUUACUUUACAUUGUAAAAAAAAAACAUAAAAAAAAACAACAAAACAAUUGUGUUGAAAACUGGUCUCGUAAAAAAUGUAACCGAUCUCAUAAAAGUUCUGAAUUAUAAGGAAAUGUUUUUAUGGGCCAUCAGACAAGAGCGAGAGUUGUUAGGGUUGUUAGAGUUGGUAGUUGUUCAAACAGCAAACCUGUGAAGCUUUCAUUAGCAUCCAGAUCCUACAGAAUUUAUGUGCAGGUCGAGAUUUCUGUAAGUGCUGUAAAAGAGAGAUAAUACAUGCAGCGUACAGGCGCGACACGGAAGUUUGUCGACCUCUGGAAGAGAGACGCUUAAGACCUACGCUUUGGAUUUAAGCCACCAAAUUAGGGCAUAAUGUCAGCACCAUCCACCAACCACCAACCACCAACCAACCACCAACCUCGGAUCGACCUUGAGAAAGUUGUGCUCCUUUCAGAGACCUCGAGUACCUCCUGGAAAGAAAAUAACAAAGUAGGGACCAGAGGUGCGCACAAAACACUCCAUUCCCGCCAUGAGUAAACAGAGAAGCAAACAGUGAGGCUGGCUAAAAUGGUGCCUGGUACAGCGCUGGAACAAAUCUCACACGAGGAGAAAAAAAAAGCAGCUGAUAACAACUAUAAUUGGAGAAUGUCGAAUGUGUAUGUAAUUUCUGCCCGAACAAAGACCUUGUCACACCA